UACGUAGGGCGCAAGCGUUGUCCGGAAUUAUUGGGCGUAAAGCGCGCGUAGGCGGCUACCUAAGUCGGAUGUGAAAGCCCCUGGCUUAACUGGGGAAGUGCACCCGAAACUGGGUAGCUAGAGUGCAAAAGAGGGUCGCGGAAUUCCCGGUGUAGAGGUGAAAUUCGUAGAUAUCGGGAGGAACACCGGUGGCGAAGGCGGCGACCUGGGUUGACACUGACGCUGAGGCGCGAAAGCGUGGGGAGCAAACAGG
rnacentral:rRNA from 1 species